rnacentral:rRNA from 1 species
UGAGUAACAUAUCGGAACGUACCCUGUCGUGGGGGAUAACACAGCGAAAGCUGUGCUAAUACCGCAUACGACCUGAGGGUGAAAGCGGGGGAUCGCAAGACCUCGCGCGAUAGGAGCGGCCGAUAUCGGAUUAGCUUGUUGGUGAGGUAAAGGCUCACCAAGGCGACGAUCCGUAGCUGGUCUGAGAGGACGACCAGCCACACUGGAACUGAGACACGGUCCAGACUCCUACGGGAGGCAGCAGUGGGGAAUUUUGGACAAUGGGGGCAACCCUGAUCCAGCCAUUCCGCGUGAGUGAAGAAGGCCUUCGGGUUGUAAAGCUCUUUCAGCAGGAACGAAACGGUGGCCCCUAAUACGGGCUACUAAUGACGGUACCUGAAGAAGAAGCACCGGCUAACUACGUGCCAGCAGCCGCGGUAAUACGUAGGGUGCGAGCGUUAAUCGGAAUUACUGGGCGUAAAGCGUGCGCAGGCGGUUAUGUAAGACAGGUGUGAAAUCCCCGGGCUUAACCUGGGAACUGCGCUUGUGACUGCAUAACUCGAGUGUGGCAGAGGGGGGUGGAAUUCCACGUGUAGCAGUGAAGUGCGUAGAGAUGUGGAGGAACACCGAUGGCGAAGGCAGCCCCCUGGGUCAACACUGACGCUCAUGCACGAAAGCGUGGGGAGCAAACAGGAUUAGAUACCCUGGUAGUCCACGCCCUAAACGAUGCGAACUAGGUGUUGGGGAAGGAGACUUUCUUAGUACCGCAGCUAACGCGUGAAGUUCGCCGCCUGGGGAGUACGGUCGCAAGAUUAAAACUCAAAGGAAUUGACGGGGACCCGCACAAGCGGUGGAUGAUGUGGAUUAAUUCGAUGCAACGCGAAAAACCUUACCUACCCUUGACAUGUCAGGAAGUCUGCUGAGAGGUGGAUGUGCCCGAAAGGGAACCUGAACACAGGUGCUGCAUGGCUGUCGUCAGCUCGUGUCGUGAGAUGUUGGGUUAAGUCCCGCAACGAGCGCAACCCUUGUCAUUAAUUGCCAUCAUUCAGUUGGGCACUUUAAUGAGACUGCCGGUGACAAACCGGAGGAGGGUGGGGAUGACGUCAAGUCCUCAUGGCCCUUAUGGGUAGGGCUUCACACGUCAUACAAUGGUCGGUACAGAGGGUCGCCAACCCGCGAGGGGGAGCCAAUCCCACAAAGCCGAUCGUAGUCCGGAUCGCAGUCUGCAACUCGACUGCGUGAAGUCGGAAUCGCUAGUAAUCGUGGAUCAGCAUGUCACGGUGAAUACGUUCCCGGGUCUUGUACACACCGCCCGUCAC